GGGCAAUUUUCGGAAAUGUAGACCGUAAAGGUGCAUGAGUUGUGUUUGGUUUGUUACGGGUGGUUGGCUCUUUGCUUGCGCAACAACUUCCACCUGGCUUACCUCUUCAUUUGUUGGUUAAGGUUUAUAGCCUUAUUUAAUUGCGGGUUUCCUGUGUUGUUUACCAAAGUGACGGUAUUGUGGUUGGCCGAUCUAUGUUACUUCUUUUCCCUUUGCCUUAAAUGUGGCAUGGGAUGAGAACCUGGUUGCUUUGCUCUUUGAACCACAUCGUAUAUGUGUACAUUGAUGUUGUGGCUCAUUGAGCAUUGCUUGGUAUCAUGGAUAUAGAACAUAUGUGGGCAUUGGGUCUAUAAUGAUCCUUGUUUUGCUCUAAUUGAGUUGUUAUGCUUCUAAAAAUGACUACUUGCUAUGUAUGGG
rnacentral:misc_RNA from 1 species